GCAGAAUUCGUAUUUCAUUUUGCUAAAGUCAACAACGUAAAGCUGAGGUUUAACCAGAGAAUACAUAUAUCAAACUAUUUUCUCGAUGUUCAAUUAUCCAAACCUUAUUGAGCUCCUGUGAUAUAUGCAUUGUGGAACUUAAGUACUCACAUUGUAACAGUGUACGCAUGAAAUGUGACCAACAAAAAAUUGAAUUUCUCUGUUUACCAUCUAAAUUACCAUAUGUAUGGAGAAAACGUGUUUGGUUUACUUUGUUGAUAAAAUUUGCAACCGCUGAGUUCGUGUAUUCUCAAAGAAAUUUGUAUUUAAUUUAAUUUUAUUUUAUUUUUAAAAUUGGAAUUUGUUUUUACACACCACAAUUUGUUACUUAAUUUAAAUUUAAAUGGUUUGUCAUGUUAACAUUUAAAAAUUUACUCGAUUCGAUUUCUCGUAAACAAUAUAUAUUUUAUGCAUAUAACCUAAUUACAAUUCGAUUAUGACCGUUGUUGGAAAAUAUGAAAUACAAUUUCAGAAUUGUUACCAGGGAUUCAGCUUCUUGUUUAAAUAGAAAUUCUUUUAAUUUUGCUUUAACGGUG